rnacentral:rRNA from 1 species
UACGUAGGGACCGAGCGUUGUCCGGAAUCAUUGGGCGUAAAGAGCGUGUAGGCGGCCAACUAAGUCCUGCGUGAAAUCUCGGGGCUCAACCCCGAGCGGUCGUGGGAAACUGGUUGGCUAGAGUGCGGGAGAGGAGAGUGGAAUUCCCGGUGUAGCGGUGAAAUGCGCAGAUAUCUGCAGGAACACCCGUGGCGAAAGCGGCGCGCUGGACCACUACUGACGCUGAGGAACGAAAGCUAGGGGAGCAAACAGG